GACAGAGGAUGCAAGCGUUAUCCGGAAUGAUUGGGCGUAAAGCGUCUGUAGGUGGCUUUUUAAGUCCGCCGUCAAAUCCCAGGGCUCAACCCCGGACUUGCAGUGGGUACGGGCAGACUAGAGUGUGGUAGGGGAGACUGGAAUUCCUGGUGUAGCGGUGAAAUGCGCAGAUAUCAGGAGGAACACCGAUGGCGAAGGCAGGUCUGCUGGGCCACUACUGACGCUGGAGAAGCGAAAGCAUGGGGAGCGAACAGG
rnacentral:rRNA from 1 species